rnacentral:lncRNA from 1 species
GUGGUGGCCAGAGAAUGAUCUUUGAGCCCUUCUGAAAGAAAUACAUAUUUCAUGCAGGCCUGUUCUACAUCAUUGUCGAGACUGGAUCAUGGUGAGAGAUGCUGCUGGAGAAAUGCUGGAGCAAUCUUUGCCAUGGAAAAAGUGAAACUGGCAGAUGCGAAGUGGCCAAACCAAACAAAUGCAGACCAAAUGCACACGAGUAUAUCUGAAGGAUACAGGUUGCUGUCUAAUGCUGAGGAUCAGCAUUCAGAUACUGGGGUUUUGCCACCUAAUUUGUGAGAGUUUCUUUGAGUAUUCUUGCAUAAUUCUUCCAUGGACACAGAAGUCCUCUGUUCCUGUGACUCCCCUACCAUGUCCCUAGGCCUUCAGGCUGGGUGAGCGCACUGCUGAAGCUGUGGUAGGACCUUUACCAUGUGACCUGCAGUGGUUGGUGUUGAUCAUUUCCCUCCAAGCACCCACUUUGUGUGACAUUCCCCAGCA